CGCAGCCGCGGUAAUUCCAGCUCCAAUAGCGUAUAUUAAAGUUGCUGCAGUUAAAAAGCUCGUAGUUGAAUUUCGGGAUCAAUAUGUCGGUCGUGCCUCGGUACGUACUGGCUUAUUGGUUUCUCCUUUCUGAAGAACCAUGAUGUCAUUUAUUUGGUGUCGUGGGAAAUCAGGACUGUUACUUUGAAAAAAUUAGAGUGUUUAAAGCAGGCUCACGCUUGAAUACAUUAGCAUGGAAUAAUGAAAUAGGACGUUUGAUUCUAUUUUGUUGGUUUCUAGGAUCGACGUAAUGAUUAAUAGGGAUAGUUGGGGGCAUUAGUAUUCAAUUGUCAGAGGUGAAAUUCUUGGAUUUAUUGAAGACUAACUACUGCGAAAGCAUUUGCCAAGGAUGUUUUCAUUAAUCAAGAACGAAAGUUAGGGGAUCGAAGACGAUCAGAUACCGUCGUAGUCUUAACCAUAAACU
rnacentral:misc_RNA from 1 species